GAAACGACUGCUAAUACCGCAUAAGCGCACAGCUUCGCAUGAAGCAGUGUGAAAAACUCCGGUGGUACAAGAUGGACCCGCGUCUGAUUAGCUGGCUGGUGAGGUAACGGCCCACCAAGGCGACGAUCAGUAGCCGGCCUGAGAGGGUGAACGGCCACAUUGGGACUGAGACACGGCCCAAACUCCUACGGGAGGCAGCAGUGGGGAAUAUUGCACAAUGGGGGAAACCCUGAUGCAGCAACGCCGCGUGAGUGAAGAAGUAUUUCGGUAUGUAAAGCUCUAUCAGCAGGAAAGAAAAUGACGGUACCUGACUAAGAAGCCCCGGCUAACUACGUGCCAGCAGCCGCGGUAAUACGUAGGGGGCAAGCGUUAUCCGGAUUUACUGGGUGUAAAGGGAGCGUAGACGGUUUUGCAAGUCUGAAGUGAAAGCCCGGGGCUUAACCCCGGGACUGCUUUGGAAACUGUAGGACUAGAGUGCAGGAGAGGUAAGUGGAAUUCCUAGUGUAGCGGUGAAAUGCGUAGAUAUUAGGAGGAACACCAGUGGCGAAGGCGGCUUACUGGACUGUAACUGACGUUGAGGCUCGAAAGCGUGAGGAGCAAACAGGAUUAGAUACCCUGGUAGUCCACGCCGUAAACGAUGAUUGCUAGGUGUUGGUGGGUAUGACCCAUCGGUGCC
rnacentral:rRNA from 1 species